rnacentral:rRNA from 1 species
UACGAAGGGGGCUAGCGUUGCUCGGAAUCACUGGGCGUAAAGGGCGCGUAGGCGGAUUUCUAAGUCGGGGGUGAAAUCCUGGAGCUCAACUCCAGAACUGCCUUCGAUACUGGAAAGCUCGAGUCCGGGAGAGGUGAGUGGAACUGCGAGUGUAGAGGUGAAAUUCGUAGAUAUUCGCAAGAACACCAGUGGCGAAGGCGGCUCACUGGCCCGGUACUGACGCUGAGGUGCGAAAGCGUGGGGAGCAAACAGG